rnacentral:lncRNA from 1 species
CAAAUAUAAAUUAUCCAAAUAUUAAACAACCAUCAUCCGUAAUCCACAAUUAAAACAAUUAUGCAUAUGAAAAUAUAGGUGCAUAAUACAACCAUCCACCAUUGUUGGAACAAAAACAAGCUUAAAGAUCCAAUUUCGGGUUUACAAAAAUUGAGUGAAAUGGAUUUGUUUGAGCCAAGAAAAUCGAUCCUAGAGAUGAAUGAAGCUAAUAGAUGAUGUAGAUUGGAUCAAAAAUAGGCUAAAGGAAGCUUGAAAAUAUAGAGAGAGAAACGGGUAGUUAGGUUUUUUAUUUUGGGUUUUAUGUGGAGAGAUGAUGAAAUCAAGUUUUGAGAGUGAAAAUUGAAAGAGUAAUGGAUGAAUAAUGAGUUGGAUGAUUGAUUUUAACAAGAAAAUGAGUGAAAGAUGAAGAGAUUUGAGAAAGAAAAAUGGAGAACACUAUUCACGCGGGAAUGGAAUGAGGAUGGAAUGAUGGAGAACAAGUGAAGAAAUCAUGAUGGAGAAGUGUUUAAUGAAGAUGAAAUGCAUGGGUAUUAGUUUAAAUGGUUGAUUUGGGCAUGAAAAUGGAUGAAAAAUGAAGAAAAUGGAUGGGUAGCUCACGGUUUUGAGGGAAGGAGAGAACAUGUGCAGAAAGCUCACGAGAGAGGAAGAAGAUGAAUAGCACAAAAGCUCACGAAUCCGGCUUGCCGAAUUUCAUUACCGGCUAGCCGGUUAUAGGGCAGUAACUUGAAAAACCGAAAACGGUCUGCCGGAUUUGAGAUCCGGUUGACCGGAUAUGAACCCGAGAACAACAAGCAAGAAUUCGGCUUGCCGGUUUUGAUAACCGGUAGACCGGUUGUGAGGCAGUGAGUUCCCUUUCAAAUUCAGUUUUUCGGAUUGAAGAACUGGUUAUCCGGAAUUUGUCCCGAGAGAAAUCAAUAAGAAAAAAUAUUUUUCCGGAUGAAUGGAAAGGGAAUAUUUGCUUGCUCUUAUACUUGUAUUACACACACCAUUUUAUUUCCAGCCUUAAAAAUUGAUUAAUUUUAAAUCAUUUUGAGAUUUAAACUUUUCAAUAAGCCAUUUAAUGCAUGAGACAUAAAUGCAUACAGGACCAAACAUAUGAAAUCAUAUCAAACAAUGAUGUCAAUUUUAUAAGUCAAUGAUGAUAUAACACAAUUAACGACACAAGAAUUCAUGCAUAUAAUUCAUUCAUCACAGUCAUGAAACAAUAAGCAUCCAACAAGCAUACAAUCAUGAAGCAUAUAAGCAUUCAAAACUUAAGAACAUGCAGAAAGGUCAAUUUCAAAAUAAAAACUGUAUUGAUUGAACCAGAAGUAAUGUGCAAGCUAUAUACCGUUGGAAAGAUAAUUAAGUUAACUUUCCAAUAAAUUUUACAGAGCUUGAUUUAGAGUUCUGUAGAAGAAGUUAUGACCAAUUCAUUACAGCCUGUGCAGACUCAGGAUAAAAUGCAGAAAUGUCAAAUUCGGAAUACAAACUGUAUUGAUUGAGCAAGAAGUAAUGUGCAUACUAUAUACCAUUGGAAAGAUAAUUGAGUUAGCUUUCCAAUAAAUUUUACAGAGCUGGAUUUGGAGUUCUCUAAAAGAAGUUAUGACCGAUUCAUUUCAGCAUGUGCAGACUCAGGAUUUUCAACGACUCAUUUGAUUUCCAAACAAUUUUAAUAGAUUCAAUAACAUAAAUAGAGAUGUUAAUGCGAAAAUUUCAUCAUCCCAAGUUCAUGCCAAAUUUUUGAAAAUUGUUCUUCGUAAUAAUUAAACAUAUAAGCAUUCGAAAGUUAAUAAAUCAAACACACCACUUAACUAUCAUGCUUAAACACUUCAUAAACAUUAACAUCAAACAAAUCCAUCAUGAUAAAUCACUCAAUAUUACACACAAUGAUAAUUCCAUCAUGUAAACAUACAAGCAUACUUUCACAAAUUCAAGCUACUAUCCAUUUAUCAUGAUCCACUCAACAUGAUACCAAAUGAAUUAUUAAAUACUUACUAAGUUUAAAAGACCAUAACUCAUAAUCAAUAAGG